rnacentral:rRNA from 1 species
UACGAAGGGGGCUAGCGUUGCUCGGAAUCACUGGGCGUAAAGCGCACGUAGGCGGCUUCUUAAGUCAGGGGUGAAAUCCUGGAGCUCAACUCCAGAACUGCCUUUGAUACUGAGAGGCUUGAGUCCGGGAGAGGUGAGUGGAACUGCGAGUGUAGAGGUGAAAUUCGUAGAUAUCUGGAGGAACACCGGUGGCGAAGGCGGCAUUCUGGACCGAUAUUGACGCUGAGGAGCGAAAGCCAGGGGAGCAAACGGG